rnacentral:rRNA from 1 species
GGUUAAGCGACUAAGCGUACACGGUGGAUGCCCUGGCAGUCAGAGGCGAUGAAGGACGUGCUAAUCUGCGAUAAGCGUCGGUAAGGUGAUAUGAACCGUUAUAACCGGCGAUUUCCGAAUGGGGAAACCCAGUGUGUUUCGACACACUAUCAUUAACUGAAUCCAUAGGUUAAUGAGGCGAACCGGGGGAACUGAAACAUCUAAGUACCCCGAGGAAAAGAAAUCAACCGAGAUUCCCCCAGUAGCGGCGAGCGAACGGGGAGCAGCCCAGAGCCUGAAUCAGUGUGUGUGUUAGUGGAAGCGUCUGGAAAGGCGCGCGAUACAGGGUGACAGCCCCGUACACAAAAAUGCACAUACUGUGAGCUCGAUGAGUAGGGCGGGACACGUGGUAUCCUGUCUGAAUAUGGGGGGACCAUCCUCCAAGGCUAAAUACUCCUGACUGACCGAUAGUGAACCAGUACCGUGAGGGAAAGGCGAAAAGAACCCCGGCGAGGGGAGUGAAAAAGAACCUGAAACCGUGUACGUACAAGCAGUGGGAGCCUCUUAAUGGGGUGACUGCGUACCUUUUGUAUAAUGGGUCAGCGACUUAUAUUCUGUAGCAAGGUUAACCGAAUAGGGGAGCCGAAGGGAAACCGAGUCUUAACUGGGCGUUAAGUUGCAGGGUAUAGACCCGAAACCCGGUGAUCUAGCCAUGGGCAGGUUGAAGGUUGGGUAACACUAACUGGAGGACCGAACCGACUAAUGUUGAAAAAUUAGCGGAUGACUUGUGGCUGGGGGUGAAAGGCCAAUCAAACCGGGAGAUAGCUGGUUCUCCCCGAAAGCUAUUUAGGUAGCGCCUCGUGAAUUCAUCUCCGGGGGUAGAGCACUGUUUCGGCAAGGGGGUCAUCCCGACUUACCAACCCGAUGCAAACUGCGAAUACCGGAGAAUGUUAUCACGGGAGACACACGGCGGGUGCUAACGUCCGUCGUGAAGAGGGAAACAACCCAGACCGCCAGCUAAGGUCCCAAAGUCAUGGUUAAGUGGGAAACGAUGUGGAAGGCCCAGACAGCCAGGAUGUUGGCUUAGAAGCAGCCAUCAUUUAAAGAAAGCGUAAUAGCUCACUGGUCGAGUCGGCCUGCGCGGAAGAUGUAACGGGGCUAAACCAUGCACCGAAGCUGCGGCAGCGACACUGUGUGUUGUUGGGUAGGGGAGCGUUCUGUAAGCCUGUGAAGGUGUGCUGUGAGGCAUGCUGGAGGUAUCAGAAGUGCGAAUGCUGACAUAAGUAACGAUAAAGCGGGUGAAAAGCCCGCUCGCCGGAAGACCAAGGGUUCCUGUCCAACGUUAAUCGGGGCAGGGUGAGUCGACCCCUAAGGCGAGGCCGAAAGGCGUAGUCGAUGGGAAACAGGUUAAUAUUCCUGUACUUGGUGUUACUGCGAAGGGGGGACGGAGAAGGCUAUGUUGGCCGGGCGACGGUUGUCCCGGUUUAAGCGUGUAGGCUGAUUUUCCAGGCAAAUCCGGAAAACUAAGGCUGAGGCGUGAUGACGAGGCACUACGGUGCUGAAGCAACAAAUGCCCUGCUUCCAGGAAAAGCCUCUAAGCAUCAGGUAACAUCAAAUCGUACCCCAAACCGACACAGGUGGUCAGGUAGAGAAUACCAAGGCGCUUGAGAGAACUCGGGUGAAGGAACUAGGCAAAAUGGUGCCGUAACUUCGGGAGAAGGCACGCUGAUAUGUAGGUGAAGUCCCUCGCGGAUGGAGCUGAAAUCAGUCGAAGAUACCAGCUGGCUGCAACUGUUUAUUAAAAACACAGCACUGUGCAAACACGAAAGUGGACGUAUACGGUGUGACGCCUGCCCGGUGCCGGAAGGUUAAUUGAUGGGGUUAGCGGUAACGCGAAGCUCUUGAUCGAAGCCCCGGUAAACGGCGGCCGUAACUAUAACGGUCCUAAGGUAGCGAAAUUCCUUGUCGGGUAAGUUCCGACCUGCACGAAUGGCGUAAUGAUGGCCAGGCUGUCUCCACCCGAGACUCAGUGAAAUUGAACUCGCUGUGAAGAUGCAGUGUACCCGCGGCAAGACGGAAAGACCCCGUGAACCUUUACUAUAGCUUGACACUGAACAUUGAGCCUUGAUGUGUAGGAUAGGUGGGAGGCUUUGAAGUGUGGACGCCAGUCUGCAUGGAGCCGGCCUUGAAAUACCACCCUUUAAUGUUUGAUGUUCUAACGUUGGCCCCUGACCGGGGUUGCGGACAGUGUCUGGUGGGUAGUUUGACUGGGGCGGUCUCCUCCUAAAGAGUAACGGAGGAGCACGAAGGUUGGCUAAUCCUGGUCGGACAUCAGGAGGUUAGUGCAAUGGCAUAAGCCAGCUUGACUGCGAGCGUGACGGCGCGAGCAGGUGCGAAAGCAGGUCAUAGUGAUCCGGUGGUUCUGAAUGGAAGGGCCAUCGCUCAACGGAUAAAAGGUACUCCGGGGAUAACAGGCUGAUACCGCCCAAGAGUUCAUAUCGACGGCGGUGUUUGGCACCUCGAUGUCGGCUCAUCACAUCCUGGGGCUGAAGUAGGUCCCAAGGGUAUGGCUGUUCGCCAUUUAAAGUGGUACGCGAGCUGGGUUUAGAACGUCGUGAGACAGUUCGGUCCCUAUCUGCCGUGGGCGCUGGAGAACUGAGGGGGGCUGCUCCUAGUACGAGAGGACCGGAGUGGACGCAUCACUGGUGUUCGGGUUGUCAUGCCAAUGGCACUGCCCGGUAGCUAAAUGCGGAAGAGAUAAGUGCUGAAAGCAUCUAAGCACGAAACUUGCCCCGAGAUGAGUUCUCCCUGACUCCUUGAGGGUCCUGAAGGAACGUUGAAGACGACGACGUUGAUAGGCCGGGUGUGUAAGCGCAGCGAUGCGUUGAGCUAACCGGUACUAAUGAACCGUGAGGCUUAACCUU